UUGGAUUCGGUUUAGUGUUUGGGGAAGAAUUGGAAGCUCGUAUUAAUGUGUGCUGGCUACAGUAUUACGUGUAUUUUAAAGCAGUUAAGAUAUGAAAUAUUGUGUUCGCCAUAACAUUUCGUUGUUAAAAGUGCAAUAAAACGCUCAGCAUAAAAGAAAUCACGAAAAGAGUGGAAAUCCUGAAAGGGAUUUGCAAGAAAUUAUUUCGUCUUCUUAAAAAAUAAAACUAUAAAAAGUGCGAAAAAGUUCUCCUCUAAAACAAAGCCGUAAAAUGUGUGCAAAAGUUUCAAGUAGGUAGUCUUCGAAAGCAAUAAAGCUGGAAAAAUGUGGAAAGUCAAAAGCAUAAAAAUUAAAACGUAGCUCUAACACUCAAAAAUUACCGCAACUAGGAAAGUUCACCGGUUGAAAAAAGGAGUGUGCAUCUUCCUUGCGGAAUUGCUUAGUAAAAGGAGCGGAAGAAAACGCGUUACUAUUUGCUCGCUGCGCAAGUGUCAUAAAGUGUUGCAUGGAUUAUGUCAAAAUUGUCGCCUCUUCGCACUAAUCUUGUUAUAAUCUUCAACGCUUGGAAAUGUGGAUCACUGAUGACUGGAGUCCAUGCAGCCGUCUCUGUUGACCUAGCUACCGUGAGCGUAUGGUGGUGUGCGCAAAGGAGAAUAAUGGCAUCAAGAUAACGGUACUGGAUGUGACGUGUUGAGCGCCAAAGCCAAGCACACAGGAGCCCUGCAUGAUUGAGAAGUGCCCAAUUGGAAGGUGGAGAAGUAGACUGGUCUUCGUCAAAGACAGCGAAUGGUCAUCAUGCAGCGUAACUUGCGGUGAGGGCGUACGCCGACGAUUUUGCGGUUGCAAAAUUUUUAUCGAGAACUCGCGCACCAUCCCGACCGGCAACGAUUCGCUAUGAGUGGGCGUCACAACACACGUUGAAGUGGACCGUUGUGCCCAGAAACCCGUAAGCUGUCCGCACAUGCUUACGAUGAUCAAUAUCUAGACGUCAAUGGCGACCGUUAUCGUGUCAUGGUAUUUGAUGCCUGAAAUUUAAGCUCGUGAUCUCGACGACAUUUCGUUUUAAUAAAACGACGCCGCUUUCCACAUAUCGCAUCAAUUAAUGGAUUUAUUGAGAGAACACUUCUUCUUGGCCACCCAGAUGGUGUAAUAUCACACCGUUAGACUUUUUUGUGAGGAUGUGUAAAGUUUAAAAUCUAUGUGGAUAAUCCCGCUUCAAUUCAAAUCUUAGA